GAGGGUCAGCACAACGUAAAAAAAACCAAAAAAAAAACCGGAAGAGCCUGCCGAAGAUGAGGCCAUUACGGCUCGCCUUUAGGUAUCCUCCUCGGGAUAGCGUCAUUUAAAGAACGAGGGUCAGCAUAACGU